rnacentral:rRNA from 1 species
GACGAACGCUGGCGGCGUGCCUAAUACAUGCAAGUAGGACGCAGUUGCGAACGGGUGAGUAACGCGUAGGUAACUACCUAUUAGAGGGGGCUAACUAUUGGAAACGAUAGCUAAUACCGCAUACUAGUAGAUGGACCUGCGUUGUAUUAGCUAGUAGGUAGGGUAAUGGCCUACCUAGGCAACGAUACAUAGCCGACCUGGGAGGGUGAUCGAGCAACAUGGGGAUGGGACACGGGCCAGACGCCUACGGGAGGGAGCAGUAGGGGAACUUCGGGAAUUGGGGGAACCCUGACCGAGCAACGCCGCGUGAGUGAAGAAGGUUUUCGGAUCGUAAAGCUCUGUUGUUAAGGAAGCGGUACUUAACCAGAAAGGGACGGCUAACUACGUGCCAGCAGCCGCGGUAAUAC